rnacentral:rRNA from 1 species
CGUGUAGGCGGCUCGGAAAGUCGGGUGUGAAAGCCCUGGGCUCAACCUAGGAAGUGCACUCGAAACUUCCGAGCUGGAGUUCUGGAGAGGAAGGCGGAAUUCUCGGUGUAGAGGUGAAAUUCGUAGAUAUCGAGAGGAACACCGGUGGCGAAGGCGGCCUUCUGGACAGCAACUGACGCUGAGACGCGAAAGCGUGGGGAGCAAACA